rnacentral:piRNA from 1 species
UUCAAAAUGCCAUAAUCUCCUGGAGAUGUC